CCUACGGGAGGCAGCAGUGGGGAAUUUUGGACAAUGGGCGAAAGCCUGAUCCAGCAAUGCCGCGUGAGUGAAGAAGGCCUUCGGGUUGUAAAGCUCUUUUGUCAGGGAAGAAACGGUGAAAGCUAAUAUCUUUUGCUAAUGACGGUACCUGAAGAAUAAGCACCGGCUAACUACGUGCCAGCAGCCGCGGUAAUACGUAGGGUGCAAGCGUUUAAUCGGAAUUACUGGGCGUAAAGCGUGCGCAGGCGGUUUUGUAAGUCUGAUGUGAAAUCCCCGGGCUCAACCUGGGAAUUGCAUUGGAGACUGCAAGGCUAGAAUCUGGCAGAGGGGGGUAGAAUUCCACGUGUAGCAGUGAAAUGCGUAGAUAUGUGGAGGAACACCGAUGGCGAAGGCAGCCCCCUGGGUCAAGAUUGACGCUCAUGCACGAAAGCGUGGGGAGCAAACAGGAUUAGAUACCCUGGUAGUCCACGCCCUAAACGAUGUCUACUAGUUGUCGGGUCUUAAUUGACUUGGUAACGCAGCUAACGCGUGAAGUAGACCGCCUGGGGAGUACGGUCGCAAGAUUAAAACUCAAAUUGAAUUGACGG
rnacentral:rRNA from 1 species